GCACUUGUAGCUCAGUUGGUGGAGCGCCGCACUCGUAAUGCGGAGGCCCCCGGUUCGAGUCCGGGCUGGUGCU
rnacentral:tRNA from 1 species